AUGUCUAAGUCAGAGUCUCCUAAAGAACCCAAACAGCUGCAGACGCUCUUCAUCUGAGAGUUGAGCUUUGAAACAACCGACGAGACUCUGAAGAGCCGUUCUGAGCAAUGGGGACAAUUACCACACACCAACUGUGUGGUAAUAAGAGAUCCCAACACCAAACACUCCAGGGGCUUUGGGUUUGUCACAUAUGCCCUUAUGGAGGAGGUAGAUGCAGCCAUGAAUGCAAGGCCACACAAGGAGGAUGGAAGAGUUGUGGAACCAAAGAGAGCUGUCUCAAGAGAAGAUUCUCAGAGACUAGGUGCCCACUUAACUCUGAAAAAGAUAUUUGUUGGUGGCAUUAAAGAAGACACUGAAGAACAUCACCUAAGAGAUUAUUUUGAAGAGUAUGGGAAGAAUUGAAGUGAUUGAAAUCAUGACUGGACGAGACAGUGGCAAAAAGAGGGGCGUUGCUUUUGUAACCUUUGGCAAAAAGAGGGACUUUGUUUUUGUAAUCAUGGCUCCGUAGAUAAGACUGUCAUUCAGAAAUACCAUACUGUGAAUGGCCACCACUGUGAAGUAAAGAAAGCCCUGUAGUAGCAAGAGAUGGCUAGUUUUUUGUUCAGCCAAAGAGGCUGCAGUGGUUCUGGAAACUUUGGUGGUGGUCAUGGAGGUGGUUUUGGUGGGAAUGACAACUUUGGUCACGGAGGAAACUUCAGUGUUAUGGUGCCUUUGGUGGCAGCUGUGGUGAUGGUGGAUAUGGUGGCAAUAAGGAUGGCUAUAAUGGAUUUGGUAGUGAUAGUGGUUAUGAAGGAGGCAGCCCUAGUUACUCUGGAGGAAGCAGAGGCUACGGAAGUGGUGGACAGGAUUCUGGAAACCAGGGCAGUGGCUAUGAUGGGGGUGGCAGCCAUGACAGCUAUAACAAUGGAGUAGGCGUAAGUGACUUUGGUGGUGAGAGUGGAAGCAAUUUGGGAGGGGGUGGAAGCUACAGUUAUUUCUGAAAAAACAACAAUCAAUCUUAAAAUUUGGACUCAUGAAGGGAGGGAACUUUGGAGGCAGAAUCUCUAUGGUGGUGGAGACCAAUACUUUGCCAAACCACAAAACCAAGGUGGCUAUGGCAGCUCCAGCAACAGCAGUAGCUAUGGCAAUGGCAG
rnacentral:lncRNA from 1 species